ACAAAAUUUUGAAGUGAUAACUGCUCUUAAAGUGGAUAGCGGACUACUAUAGAAUUUGCACGAAGAUAGGUCUUGAUUGAAAGGUUUGUUUGUGAAGAUAUUGUCGUACAUACUGGUAGCAUUUAUUCUUUUGUCAGUUGAUAUAUCUGUUAGGGCUUGCAAAAUGCAAACCUCACAAAAUUCUUUAGCCAUGAAGGUGGAAAUAUAAUAAGUGUGGAAUCUUGG